GGAGGCAUAGCCCAGCUGGUUAGAGCGCUACGUUGACAUCGUAGAGGUCACUGGUUCGAUUCCAGUUGUCUCCACCA
rnacentral:tRNA from 1 species